CCAAUCAUAAUACUCCGACACCUAAUAUCACCAAACAAUAUAAAACUCAUUUCAUACCUCCGAACGGCAAAUCAGUUUAAUUAUGAUACCAAUAUAACAAUCCAAUGUUCUAACACUAACAACUGGUUAAAUCCAAACCGGUGGUUCAGUAUGCUUAAGUCUUUUCAUUAACGCUAGAGUACUGAGUCCUUAGAUACUCAACUAUCAAUUCUUAUUAGUACUAGAGUACUUAAUUUGUAUAGAGCAAUGCUAUCGGUACACCUCAAAGCGGAAUUUACAUUUUACACCAACUCAAUUCCAAAAUCAUUAAUAUUCUACUUAUGACAUCAAUUUUUAGUCCUCGACUUUUCAAUUACUUUUACAUUGUUCACUUUAUUAUUUGUGUUGAUUAAGUCUUACAGUUAAAAAAAAACUAGGUAAAAUAAUUAAAAAGAAGCAAUUACUUAUAUGCUCUUGAAAAGUUUCAGACUUUCUUAUUUACUCUUCGUAAAAGGCUAAUAUAAAAAAUAUCCUCUUAACACUCCAAAUUCUUUCGAAUAUACCAAAUAAAAAAGGCUCCAUUUUACGGUCAAAUAACAUUAUUUAAUGGUGUCGGCGUGGUAGUUUUCAUUUAGAGUAAACUAAAUUUUCGAUCGCUGAGACCUGAUCUAAAUAAAUAAAAAUGAUUUAGGACCACAUUGUCAAAAUUAAAAGAUUAAGAAGUGAUGUAAAAUUUUGAUAAAGUGUAGUGAUGGUCGCUAGCAGUACUAUAAAUUAAGGAAAAUGUUUAUUGCAUAUUCAAAAAGAGAGGGAAAGUCUUACCCUCACUAUUCUAAGGUUGAUAAAAAUUGAAAUAAACUUUAGUAAAAAUUAAAAAAAUUUGACAUGAUAAGUAAAAUAUUAAUGAUUUUAUAAUACAGUGGGGGUAACGAUAUACACCCAGUUUUGAAAUAUACCAAUAGUAUUGCUCAUAAGUUAAAUUAUAGAUCUCUCUCUUUCUAUAUAUCAUAGACACUUCUGUAAGCCUUGUAUGUCUGUGUCGGACGCGGGUGUGUUCGUGUCGGACGCGUGUGUGAUGUGGACAGUCCUUGAACGCCUAUUUAAUGCCGAUUCAUAGCGCAUACAGCGAGUUGAGCUGGAAUACUAUCGGUAGCAAAUGGGCUCCGUUACCACCCAUUUGUUUUUGAUGAUGGAGCCUUCAAAUUGACGAUCGGCACCGUUGAAAAUGAUCUAUACUACUUGAAGUAUCUAGAAAUCAAAUUUCAUACUUUUUCGAUAUUGUUUUCUUGUCCAUCAAGUGGGCGUAAAAAUGAAUGGCUGAAAAUGAAUAUCCUCUAAAAAGUGAUGAUAGAAAUUUUGUAAUCAUGAUCGAGAAUAUAAAUCUUGUUCUAAAUAGUUUAAAGAAUUUUCUAACAAAAAUUCAAUUGAUUUGGAUAGCUUUACACCGUUAAACGAGAAAACCCCUCAUAUCAACCAUUAAAAUUACUAAUUUUGAAACCCUUUGAUCAUUANUAUAUAUAUAUAUAUGGAAAAUAUUUCUUGUAUACUCAAAAAGGAAGUGAAGAUCUUACACCCAUUAUUCUUAAAUUGGUAAAAUUCAAAUUUUUAGUAUAAAAAAAAAAUUGAUGUGACAAAUAGAAUAUCAAUAGCCUUGGAAUGGAGUGGGUAUAAAAUAUAUACACCGCUUUAAGGUGUACCGGUAGCAAUGCUCAUAUAUUAAUGUCCCUAUUUUGGAACUUAAUCACUCUAUUUUUGUAUUAAACAACUAACAUCAAUAGAUUGCAGUUACUAAUCUCUGAUCAUUAAAAAGCCAAACUUUUAAAAGUAAUUAACUGGAAAUAGUGAAUCAUAUUUAUAAUAGGAUAAAUUUAGGUCUUCUACUCAUCUCCAAAAAUUGAAAUGUUCGCACGAAAAGUAUGGAAAACGAAAUCGCAAUGUUGGCACAAUACAAGAGUUAUCUGUACUUAUUACUAUAAUAGCCUCAAAUCUCUAUAUAUGUAUCCAAUCAUAAUAACCCCACACGUUCAUGGUGUCAAAUUUUCGAAACUAAGACCGUACUUAUUACUAUAAUAGAGUUUCAAAUCUCUGGGAGUGUCCAAUCAUAAUACUCCGACACCUUCAUGGUGUCAAAUUUUCUAACCUAAGAUCACCAAACAAUAUAAAACUCAUUUCAUAACUCCGAAUGACAAAUCAGUUUAAUUACGAUACCAAUAUAACAAUCCAAUGUUCUAACAUAACAACUGGUUAAAUCCAAACCGGUGGUUCAAUAUGCUUAAGUCUUUUUAUUAACACUAGAGUACUGAGUCCUUAGAUUCUCAACUAUCAAUUCUUAUUAGUACUGGAGUACUUAAUUUGUGUAGAGCAAUACUAUCGGUACACCUCAAAGCGGGAUUUAUAUUUUACACCAACUCAAUUCCAAAACCAUUAAUAUUCUACUUAUGACAUCAAUUUUUAGUCCUCGACCUUUCAAUUACUUUUACAUUGUUCACUUUAUUAUUUGUGUUGAUUAAGUCUUGCAGUUAAAAAAAAACUAGGUAAAAUAAUUAAAAAGAAGCAAUUACUUAUAUACUCCUGAAAAGUUUCAGACUUUCUUAUUUACUCUUCGUAAAAGGCUANUAAAUUAUGUACGGUGAAAAAAAAAAUUUCUUAAAAUAUAUGAAUUAUAAUUGAAAAUUUUAUAAACUUUCAUUCGUACGAAAAAUAUAAUAAUAGUUUAUCAAAUUUAAUAUUUUAUACAUAAUAAAAAUAUAUUAUUAUAUUAAUAAUAUUAUAUUUUAUUAGCGGUGUCUAUGUCGUGUCUGUAUCUUAAUUUAUUGAAAGUUGUCGAGUUACGGUGUUCGAGUGGUGUCGUAUUUCGUAUUUUGUGUCAGUGUUCGUGACGCCUAGCUCUCUUUCCUUAUGUAGAGUCUAUGCAAUUCUUAUUACGAGUCAUGUCGUGUUUUGUAUCUCGUGUCAGUAUUUGUGACGCCUAGCUCUCUUUCCUUACGUAAAGUCUAUGCAAUUCUUAUUAUUAC
rnacentral:lncRNA from 1 species